rnacentral:lncRNA from 1 species
UCUUCUCACCCUGGAACCAGUACAGCACUGCAGCGUUCGUCAUGCAGCUGUUCUUUCACCUCUUUUCUGUACUCCAUCCUUUUCAACUGUAUGGAACAAAGGAAAACAAACGGAAUUUAUUAGGAAUGAAAAAUGCUACCUUUACAGAUUUUUUAAACAGAUGGGGUUACAAGUACUGAGGUAGCAAGAUUUCAUUGGCUAGUUUAACUUGGUAUUUUGUUCAAAAUAGUAUGAAAUCUUGCAGCUCAGCAUUCUGUAAUCCCAUAUAUUUAACGAGCCUGUACAAGUAGCAUUUCACAUUAGGAAUAGUAAGCAGGCAUGAAUUCUUAGAAGCAGUGCUUUCACAAUGCAAUUGUUUUAUGUAGUUAGGAUAUUUUAUAGGAACGUGAUUCUGCAUAAAAAAAAAGGGGGGGGAAUUUACACAAAUGUCACUAAAAUUGAAAAUGCAAAAAAAAAUUGGACAUUCACCAAUUUCUUCCAAGAAUGUCAAUUUUUCCCUACAAAAUGUCCACUUUACCCUUUAACACCUUUUUGGAGCAAUAAAUGCUUGAUUUGAAUGCAAUUUUUGUUAUGAUGUGAUUAAUUUUUUUUUUUUGCCUUAAAUUUAAUAUUGAAGAUAUGAUAUUAUAUUGUAUAAUAAGAUUUUUUUUGAUUAAAAAAGGGGUGAAAUCUUUACAAAAUACACACACACAUACGAAUUGAAAGAGCUUCUUCUUCUUCAUCAUCUACACUCCAUCAUCGACAAGGAAACAAGGAAAGCCAUUGACAAAUUUGAAAGGUAAGGUAGUAGAAAAAAGUUCAUCUCAUGUCAUAGUUGACUACUUUAAAUGUUCAAUACAAUAUGAUCAUAUUUAAAUGAACCCUUUCAAUCUCUUAUUCAUUGAUGUAGUAAAUUUUUGGUAUAUUUUAAAAAGAAAAAUUAUACCAAUAUUAUAUAGAAAAUGUGAAGUAUUCCAUAUAUAAUUCAACAUUUAAUGAAGCAUUAAGUGAUACCUUAUUCAUUUCUAAAAAGAUACAGUGAUAUUGUAGUUCAGAAUUUAUUAUGGCCUUUAUCAUUUUCAAUAAAUUCGUCAAACAGUGAAGCACAUGGAAUUUAUCUUUCUUGAAAGUUAUGGCAGUAGAACUGUCGAGCAGUAUCUUGGAAACUGUCGGGUUAGACAUUUUAACUGUCGAGCUCGACAUUUACUGACUGUCGGGAUAGAAAAUGUAAUUGUCGAUUUCGACACCUGAAAACUGAUCAUCUUUUAUAUCUUUGGUAGUACAUGGAUGUAAGUAUUUUCGUGUGCCAAUUUGAUGUUAUGAAAUGUCGACAUAUGAAUGUGCAGAAUUCUCACUUUUGCAAUCCUAACAUUUCAGGUAUGAGUCAUGAUUUCAGAUUCAUCGUGUCGCAUGGAGGAAACUUCGUUCACUCAGAUGAUGAAUGGAAGUGGAGAGAGGACAAAACCACUUCCAUUUUAGUGUCGAGAAGUAUUACCGUAGCAAAACUUCUGUUACGAUUGAAGGAGAAACUUGGUAUCGUUGAAUCCCGCAAUGCAAUCGAAUUGAAGUUCAAAGUCCCGAACUUGAAUCUACCUCCGGCAGAGAUACGCGACGAUGAGGAUCUACAGUGGUACAUAUCUGUUCAUAAGGAAACUGCACUCUGCAUCACAUAUUUGGUAUCCGAGCUCCCAUUUGUUGGUAUGGCAACAGAUGCAAACUGUGAAGGGAACUUGUUCGGCCCAACGGAAUGUCCACUAAAUGUACAACAUGACGAGAUGAAUCAUCAGCACAGUGUGUCGCAAACCGAACCACCCGAACCUCCAAUUGAGCGUAUAGAGGCUGCAGCAUCCGCCGAACACUUAGAGAACCCAUUACAUGGUACAGAUCGUGCUAUUAUUGCUGGAAAUAGAUGAGACAAUGUCAUCAAAUUCCAGACGUUCGUGCACAGAUGAGUGGAUUACAGCUGCAAAUAUAUCGGUUCUCGCUGAGAAGCAAAUAUUCUUUACCAAGGAACAGUUGUACUCGAAGUUUCAUGUACUUGCUUUGCAAGAGAAGUUCCGAUUCCGGGUAAGCAGGUCAAGCUUGAAAAUGUUAGCAGUUGUCUGUGUUGAUGAUAAUUGCAAGUGGAUGCUACGUGCUUCUACUGUCAAGCAAUCUGCAAUCUUCAUGACUCGUAAGUUCGUUGCAGUUCACACAUGUUACCUUGAUUUUCGUCGUAACGCACAUCGGCAUGCCACUAGUGCUGUAAUUGCGGAGCAUAUUUUGGGAAAAUUGGAUACUCCAUACCGAUCAUAUCCGCCUACUCAUAUUGCACGUGAUAUGGAACGUGAGUUUGGUGUGAAAAUCAGUUAUAGCAAAGCACGUAGGGGGAAGCUCCAUGCCUUAAAUAUGCUACAUGGUAUACCAAGGGACAGUUUUUAGAAAUUAUCUUCGUACUGUCACGUCGUAGGAGAAAGUAACCCGGGGACCGUUACCCACAUCGAAGUUGAUUCUUGUAAUAGGUUUCGUUACUUCUUCGUAGCUUUUGGUGCAAGCAUUCAUGGAUACAUGCAGUAUUUGAGACCCGUUAUUUGUGUUGAUGGCAGUCACUUGAAAGGUCCAUACAAAGGUACACUCCUAGUGACAACUGCCUAAGAUGGUAAUAAACAGAUUUAUCCGUUGGCAUGGGGGAUCGUGGAUGCUGAAACCAAUAAAUCGUGGACGUGGUUUUUGUCGAACUUGAAAGACCUUAUAGGGGAUUCCGAAGAACUCGUGUUCGUUUUAGACAGGAAAAAGAGUAUUCAGAAAGCUAUUUCUCAGUUGUUUCCGUCGUCUCGGCAUGGUUGUUGUAUAUGGCAUAUGGAAAAGAACCUAAUACAACGGUAUAACAACGCAAGCCUAUUAUUUCUAUUCAAACAAGCUGCUACAACUUUUCGGGUCGAGGACUUCGAACGACUCAUGGGACAGAUUCGUAGAGUAAGCAAAAGAGCGCACGGGUACUUAGAGCGAGCGGGAUAUUCAUUUUGGUCCAGAGCACUAUUUAUUGGACACCGUUACAAUAUUAUGACAAACAACAAUGCAGAGUCGUUGAACUCGAUGUUGAGAGAAGCCCGGUCGUUACCGAUAACCUGCUUGGUUGAACACAUUCGGAGUAUUAUGCAGAAGUGAUUUUACGAACGUCGAGCAAAUGCAGAAGAAUGCAGUACCUUAUUGACACCAAGGAUGGAGAACGAGCUACGGACGACUUUCGAAAAUGGAACUAAGCUUCGAGCCCAUGUCCUGACAAACAACUUGACGCAGGUUGGAAUAUCCAACGACAUGGACAUAGUUGACUUGUCCGAAGAAACCUGCACAUGUCGUGAGUUCCAACUAAACCGUAUGCCAUGUGUUCAUGCAAGUCGUGCUGCUUGCUUUAGAGGGAAGACGUUGUACGAGCUUUGCUCCCGUUAUUAUUCAUCGGACUACUGGAAGGGUGCCUACAGCGAAACUAUAUAUCCUGUUCCGAGGGAAGUGGAUUGAGUUGUUCCGAGCUUAAUUACAUGUACUCCUAUUUUCCCACCACUCGUACGUCGUCCUCCAGGUAGACCACCAACCCGCCGUAACCGUUCUAGGUAUGAGUAUGCAUGGUCUACCAGAAAAUGUACCCGCUGUGGUAGAGUUGGUCAUAAUCGGACCACCUGUUCAAACCCUCGUGUAUCACAUGCUCCUUAAAGAUUUGCAGGUUAAUAGAUGUUGUAUGUUAAUUAUUCUGUACUACAUCGAACAUUAUGAAGGGCCCAUAAGUACUUUUUGGAAAGGUAUCGACCCUUUUGAAUUGAACUAACCCUUUUCCUCAUGACAUAUAAGGGAUUUCGGCCAUUUGUGGAACAACAAUCACUUGCUUAUUUGGUACGCUUUGAUUGUUGGCGAUCGAAGAACUAAGUGUGACUUUUGCAUAUGAUUUCCGUUUUGGGCCCUUAUGUACUUUUCGAAAAGAUAGCGACCCUUUUGGAUUGAACUCACUCUUUACCUCAUGACGUAUAAGGGAUUUCUACCGUUUGUGGAGGAACAAGCACUUGCACAUUUAGAAUGCUUGGAUUGUCGGCGAUCGAAGAACUGAGUGUGACUUUUGCAUACGACAUCCAUUUUGGGCCUAUAAGUACUUUCCGAAAAGGUAGCGACUCUUUUGGAUUGAACUCACCCUUUUCCCAACAAUGUAUGAGGGAUUUGGGGCAUUUGUCUAAGAGCAAGCACUUGCUUAUUUGGAACGCUUGGAUUGUUGGCGAUCGAAGAACUGAGUGUGACUUUCGCAUAUAGUGUCCGUUUUGGGCCCAUGAUUUACAGUUUGUGAUCAUUAAUGUUCUUGCAUGUUGCGCAUCCUGUUGUGUACAUAAAAAUUUCACUCUGUGUCCAGCACGUAGUAAACAUCCCGCCCAGUUCAAAUGUCGGUCCCAAUAAAUGUGUUACUUAUUCUCGACAGUUGACGAAACCUUGCACUGCAGUCACGGUUUGCGUCACAUAUACAUGUUGUGACCUCUAAACACAAGAACGGAAAAUGUUUGAUACUGUACAUAUUUUUUUUUUCCAUUUCGAAACGCAAUUUUCUAUCCCCCUACAGAUUUACUAUCAUUAGCAUCAUCUUAAAUCGAAAUUAAAGGUAGUGCAAAACGCAAUCUUGAAUCCCGAAGAAAUGUACAAUCAUUUGCGUCAUCGUAAACCAUGGAUUAAAGUUAGUCCAUGAUACACACCUUUCACAAUAGCCGUUUUACAUACUGCAAAAUACAUAACCAUUUUUGUACAUAUUAUCCUUACUGCCCGACAGUUGACAUGUCGUCCCCGACAGAUAGUCUCAGUAAUUCUCGACAGUUUGAUCGAAAAACGCAAAAAACAUGACACGAAUUGCAUCUUAGAGACAUGUUCACGUGGACUUUUUGGUAUUGUCUUAACUAAAGUCAUCCCUACAAAAUACCUUACUAUACAGUACUUAUUCACUACAUUCCAUGGGUGUCACAUUAGUCGUCGUCCACAACUGAACCACCGUCCCCGCUAUCCUCACCUGACUCGUCGGAAGAGAUGAUAAUUACCUCAUUUGGGGGAUCGUACGCCAUCCAGUCGUCCUCAUCGUCGAAAUCCCCCUCGUAUCCGGCAUCCAGCUUGAACUCUUCAUUGAGGACUCCAUUUGGUGAUUGCGCACCCUCGUUGGAAACAACUUCUAAGUUGGGAAAACGAACGGGGGAAAUGGCUCCCCUCCCAAUACGAGGGUUAACUUCCUCCUCAUCUGACGAAAUAUAAAUUGGAAAAAGUGGAGAUGAACCAAGAACUGGCAGUGGCUCGUUCAUGUUCAACGGUUCGUUGCUUCCUGUGGAAGAACUCAUUACGUAAACGUAUAGUAGUACUGAAAGAAUGAUAAGUGUCUGUGAGAAGAUGAAUGGGUGACAAUGGUCUUGAAGGAACUUGUUUGUAAGUGAGAAUGAAGUCCCACAGUUUUUAUAAGCAAAUUGAAGGGGAAACAAUUAUGGUCUCCAUCUACCCAACCACCAAGUCCAAUCUCCUAGUAAAUUUGAGAUGCACUUGGUGUGAUGGUUGAAUAAAUGAAGUGUACCUUUAUCCCCCAUUUUCCCAUACUUAGUACAAUGUUAAACACUCUUUAAUCAUGUGCACAAUUAAGGAAAUGUGCAUAUCUGUAACAAAAAACUGCUCAAUCAAAUUGCUACUUUUAAUUUGCCAUGGUUGUAAUGGUAUAGUUUCUCACACGUACGGGUCAUCAUCGCAACACACAUGGAAGACGAACAACGAAAUAAUUAUUUUUACUCAAUUCAUUGAUUUAUGAAUUACUUUUACCGUGGUUGUCAUGCUCUUGACACUUGUAACGACUCAUCUUCUCGUUGCAUCUCAUGUAUGUGCCUUAAUGCCUUACUUUGAGAAUUUAUCAUAGUAAUAUCGUCCCAGAUUAAAGCUAUAGUGAAGACUAGAUACCACUACAUAAAUUUAUGAAAUAUAACAUUUACUAUUUAACAUAAGCAACAUGGGUGUAAGAAGCGUAACACAAAUUAGAAAAUCUUAAAGACUCGAAGUAUAUUACUACAUCUAUAAUAAGAUUGGAUCGAAUAUCAACAAUAUCAACAAAACAGUACUUACAAAGCAUUUCAGGAAAUUGGCAUGUUGCAUACGCAUGUUCCCCUCCUCCAUCUCCAGAUGUGUCAUCCUCACCACUUCUUCCACUCGAGACUCCGUCAUCGGAUUCCUGCCUCACCAACUGGCCGCCACUUCCACUACCUUCGUGUGAUGUAUUAAACUGCGGCCCCACAACAUUCCUGGCAAUCUCAUCCAGCACAGGCACCGGAGGAUCAUCAUACGGCACGAGAGUGGAGAAAUACUGUUGUUCCGCCUCAGCAUCGGUGGGACGAAGUGUGGUAUACACAUGCAACUGCAAUGUACAAUUAUACAUUAGAAACGAAAAGCUUCAGGAAUGACAUGAAACGUGAAUAACAAUAAUAACACGUGGUAUCCAUACCCGCACGUUCUUGAAGAAUGCAUUGUAUGUACGAUGCUGUGAUUGUUUUCGUGCGGACCACCUAAGCAAUCGUGGCAUUUGUUCCCUAACUCUCUGACCAAAACGUUCCCCAAUCUCGGGAACUACCUCAUACGCCCAAACCUGUUCCAUCAAGACAAACAGAAAUAAAAUAACUGAGAUGGAACGCACGAUGCUACAUGACGGCAAACAAAUAAAGCAUGAUAUGCUACUAUUUAAAACUUGUGUACCUGCAUGGCAAUGGGAAAGCCAUGAAUAGUGUAUGUAACCUCCUUCUCUUGCCUCCUCUUCGCCUUCAGGAAUUUCUUUGCCCAGAAACCCCAGAAUCCGUGCAGCAAAUGCCGAUAGCCGACUCUACCCCAAGGGUAGGCAAAAAAGAUAUCUAGGUUGUCGACAAUAGAUAGUGUACGCAAAUCAAUUCUGACGUUAUUAUCAGGGGCAUUGAAAACUCUUUCGACUAUUAGCACGAGCCCUAGCUUGUAACGGUUGGCUCGGGUCAUCGAAGGUCGGGCAAUAGUAGUUUGGAGUUGUGCCAACGAUAUCUUCUCCAUGGAUUUGAAGUAUCUCUCCUUCAGCCUUCUCCUCUCCAGCACUCGAUCGAACUCAUAAUCCUCCGAGAAUACACUGCAUCUUAACCCCGUCACAAGGGUGUAUUCCUGUAGACCGAAUCUCAUCAUGUUGCCUUUCACAUUAAACCAGAGCUCGUUAACCUUGUCAGUGCGAAUGGUUCUGAACACGAGCUGAUGGAUGAGCUGGGCAGAGAAUUGAAUCUCUGCAACCUCGGCCAGAUACCCGAAUGGGGAGUUUCGAAACUCGUCGAGCUGUCGGUCAUCAAAAACGUCCUUCACUGUCUUCACAUACUUCAAGUUGCUCCUCUGUGAAAUGUGGGGCCGCAACCUUGCCUCCUCUGGAAUACAAUAAUCAAACUCCAUCAGUCCUGUGUCCUGCAAGAUGCAUUCAUAAAACUCACUGGGGUUACUGGAUAAACUUAAAGAUAUUGUAUCAUAAAUAGCAGUUUAAUGAAACACACUAAGGCAUGGACACACUCGACUGUCGAGAAAAACUGACUACAACUGUCGGUACCGACAGAUGAUCUGUCGAGAUCUAUCGAUACCAACAGUUGAUGUCCAAACAUGCAAGAAGGCUGGCCUAACUAUCGAGAAAACCUGAGCUCUACUGUCGGGAACGACAGUUCAGUGGGAGGCAUUGAACUUGUUAUUGCUGAGAUAAAAAUUACGUAACUUAAUCACUAUUACCACAUAAUAUUAAAGCAAAUAUUUGAAUGGAUUGAGGCCCCAAUAAUGCAUGUAAACAAAUGAUUGACAGUUCAGUGGGAGGCAUUGAACUUGUUAUUGCUGAGAUAAAAAUUACGUAACUUAAUCACUAUUACCACAUAAUAUUAAAGCAAAUAUUUGAAUGGAUUGAGGCCCCAAUAAUGCAUGUAAACAAAUGAGUGAAAAUGAUUGAUGUAUUAUACAAGUUUUAGCAUUCAGCGAUUGGAAUAUAAAUAAUGGAAACGUAAUAUUGAUAAGCAGAAUAGUUAACAAACAUUAGACCUCAUUAUCAUGUGCCUAAUGCCCAUCAACACACCUAAAACUCUACCGUUAUAUAACGGUAUCCUAUGGCAUUAUAUUACAGUAUAUUAAAAAAAUCCAUGUUGUCUAAGUCUAAAGAAAUAUAAAAUUGGAAUAAUAUCUUACAGAGAUCUUUGAUAUCCAUGUUCACAGUCACAGCUUACCAGAAAGAAGAGGGGAAAAAAGGAUAGCAGAAGUAGGUCAGACAAAUGAUGAGAAAGAUAAACUAAAUAAGUAUUCCCAACUCCACUGCUCUUCACAAUUCAAUAUAAAAGACUACAGAUGCCUCUUACCCUAAAAUUUAUUAAUUGGGUGGGGCGUGGGAAGCAUGUUAAAAGUCCCGGUUACAUGGGAGUUUUUGUCACAAUGCUUCUUCGAUUUUUAGAUUAUGAAAUCCCAACCUGCAUAUGGUAGCAAGAUGCAAUUCAAAUCAACCCGCAAUCCCCAAUGCUGAUAAUCAUACAUCAGAAAUAAUCCUGAACAAAGUUUUUUAAUCCACAGCUUCUAUUUUCAUUUUGUAUGGUGUGACAAUUAUACUCUACCAAAAUCAACACAUUGAUAUGUCUAUAUGAAGUAAACAUGUUGUCGUACGCUCAAUAAGAAUCAUACUGACUAUAACUAGAUCAUUAGAUUAGGAUUUUAAAGCAAUUACACGGAGUAGACCACAAUCUAAAGAAAAAAGAAACUGAAACGGAGGUCAAUACUUUGAUUGCGUGUUGAAUCUUUCCACCAGAAGGUGAUAUGAUAAAACGAAUGUGUCAACCGGAAGAAGAAUCAACAUUAGAUGGUAAUAUUACAGACAACUACACAUCUUAAUGAAAAUCCAUGUAUCUGACAUAGCUUCUAAUAGAAACAACUCCACCGUACUGAGACAAAAUUGUAAGUCCACAUGACAAUAUAUUUAUUUUCUCCACUUAUCUACAUCUCCCGUUCAUGUGAUUUUACGCCCCCAAGGGAUCUACUUUGGUCAUCACAAUCGAGACAAACAUUCAAAUGAGCCUUGCUAUCAUAUGGUAUCCAAAAUGGAGGAAUAUUAUGUAGGACUACUUCGGGAUCUAUCAACUAUAAUUUUAAAAUUUUACUUCUAAUAUGGUAGCAUAAAAUGAGGAACUUCAGGGUUCAUUAAUUUUAUGGCUGAGAUGACUUGGAAAAGGUGAGUUUUAAGAUACACAACUGAAGGUUUGGAGCUUCAGGAGGAAAUGGAUAAAAAAAAAAAGGUUCAAUAGGCUGUUCUAGGUGUUGUGUUAAACAAUACCCUAGAAGAUAACCAUUCAGUUAGUGAGGUUUCACGGUGUCAAAAGGAUUAGGAAAAAUCCGGGCAUCUCAAAAACAGUUGGGUUGAAAACACAUGACGCGAUCCACAUGGAAUCAAAAGCUCAGAAAUGUUUAAGUACACUAAACAACUAAAUUGAAGAAUGGUACGAGUAAUUCUUAGAGUUCGAUCCCUACCAUCCAACUAGGAUGGACUUCGAGCCAUAUACAAGUGGAGGAAAACACAAAAACAAGGAAUACCAAGCAAAAGCUUCUCUGACAUUCCAAAAACUUCACCAAUUCACACAAUUUUUAGGACAGCAAUAAUAUCAUUAACUGUGAAAUAUCUAGAAAGUACACCAAUGCUGAGCUUAAGAGACAGUGACAACUAUAUGAUGAUAAACACUACGAACGGUACAAAAUUUGCUAGGAAAACUGCAAGAAAUUGUACAGAGAAAAUACUUGUAUGCAUAACAUUACAAGUCAAAAGUCAUCUUGCAAGAUGAGGCCGCCAGCAAUUGAAUUAAGAUUCAAUGAUAAUUUUCAGUAACGAAAAAAAUAAUUACUUCUUCAAAGGAAAUCAAAUGUGCAUUUCAAAAAGCAAUUUGCACCUUCUAAUUGUUCAAGAAUUGCAUAAUGAAAGAAAUGUGGAUCUUGAUUGUACAUUACAACUUAUGGCUGCAUCCUACUAUUGGCCAACAAAGAGGAACAAAACAUGAAAUUCCAAUGGGAAGUCAAAAGAUGGGUGGAUUUACCUUCGCCUUUGUUCGGUUUCUCUGGCAGUCGCAAGGGAGAAAACAGCCUUCGACGUUGUGCUCAGCUUCGGGCGAUUCGACUGACAAUGGGAGUGAUUUCGACAUUGACGAUCGUCGUCCAAGGCUGGGAGUGAGGUCGGCGAUUGCAGAGAGAGCUUCGACGUUGUGCUCAGCUUUGGGCGAUUCGACUGACAAUGGGAGUGCUUUCGACGUUGACGAUAGUCGUCCAAGGCUGGGAGUGAGGUCGGCGAUUGCAGAGAGAGCUUCGAAGUUGUUUUAGGUGAGAGGCGACGUUUGGCUUUCUCUUCCUUCAUCUCGCUUUUUUUUCUUUGUUUUUCUUCUCCAAACACCUCCUCCCUGACACAAUUCUGCCUAGUCAAAGCUACAAUUAAUGCAAAACCUGUAAGGUAUUACAUUUAUGCAAAGGGGUAAAUUAGUCCAAAACUUUCAUAAUUUGCCAUAUUUGUAAUGUCAGAAAAAGGAUGACAUUUGUGUAACUAAAAAUCAAGAUUUUGACAUGUGGUGUAAUUUCCACUAAAAAUAUGCAUGCUGGUAAUAGUCAUACUUACUUUAUGGAAACAAAAGUUGUUACGCCCAAAUAUUCUCAACAUGGUUUUACGUAGGUGACCAAAUUCAUGUGUCUGCCGACCCCAUCAAAUAUUACUGACGCUCCGCAAGUAAGAGUACCUGCUCAAGAGCAUCCAUGAGGAAAGGCGAAGCCGCAGAAGAAGAUUGGCACAAGAACUUCAAAGCAAUCUUUUUGACGUGAUUGAUAUGACAAUUCAUUGUCAGUGCUGCCACUAUCAACCUAUCCAGUCAAGUCCACGGUUGCCAGCUAGGAGACAUGGAUGCUAAAAUGGCAUUAGCAUUUAAGCCUUAUGAUUGAUUGAUGUCUAAGAUAAGAGGUCUCGGCUAUAUAGAUGAGACCACAUGUUUUUUCAUUCGAUGGUUCUUACUCGCCCUCCUCUACCAUAAAAAUUCACACUUGAUGUCAUUCGAGGGUAACACAAUUUUAGACUCUAAAACUAUAAAUUUGUCAUAUCACUAUUUUUUUCUUUACUCCCCAAAACUUGCCCUCUUUUUACAUACGUCUAAAGUCCUCCCACACUCAUACAUCAACGUCCUCAAUUGACUUAACCGUCAGAAUGCAUGCAGCUAACUAUAUCCUGCCGAAGGAGACCACAUGUCGCUAACGGUUUGUCCAAGUGAACAAAAACACGGCUUAUGUGGACGUGAAAGGUCUUGAGAUCUGUUGGUUAUAAUGGAGGUAAAUUUUUUUAGGUUAACUCGUCCAUGGGAAAUCGGUGCAUUAACCAUUUUAUCAUGUCUGAAAGGCCAUUGCGAAGGAUAAUUUUUUUCGAGCAGUUCGAAGAAGUCAGCCAUCACAAGAAUUUCAGAAAAAAGGCAAUUUCAGAUUAAAUUUGUGAGAUGGAAGGAAUUAAAACAAGAAGAAUAGGAACUUGGACAAGAAGGUGGGCGGCAACGCUGUAGCGUAAGUCUCUGGCCAUUAACAGUGAAGCAACGCAACAAAAUCACAUUGUAAAAAUCAUGUUUGAAAAAGUUCAGAUGGAUAGAGAUGUUACAUAUAUAUUUUUAAGAAUUUUUACUUUUAAUAAGCUCUCUUCAAUUUCUUCACCAAAAGCUUAAGGAGUAUAAUUUUCAUAAACAAGUGAUAAUAAGAUUUGACCUUAUCAUCUACGAAUUCAUCGAUGCCGUGUUGACGAUUAUAGAUAAUUAAAGCAAUUCGAAAUUGAAGAAAAAGUAUUAAACUCAUAAAUAAUCGAAUGAUGUAAUAAACAAACAACUACGAUAAUUUAUUUUCCAAUUCAACAUAAAAUAUAUGAUUUUAUUGAGUAACAUAUCAAAUAUGUUUUUUAAGUAAUUGAAACAAAUACUUACAUCCCAUCCACCCAAAACGUGUGAUGAACCCGUUAUCCUCCAUUGUCAUGACACCCCCCACGCUUCCCCUUUUAAAG